AAAGGAAUUGACGGGGGCCCGCACAAGCAGUGGAGUAUGUGGUUUAAUUCGACGCAACGCGAAGAACCUUACCAGGGCUUGACAUAUAUAGGAAGGUUUAAGAGAUUAAACUGUUCUCUUCGGAGACCUUUAUACAAGUGGUGCAUGGUUGUCGUCAGCUCGUGUCGUGAGAUGUUGGGUUAAGUCCCGUAACGAGCGCAACCCCUAUGUUUAGUUACUACCAUUAAGUUGAGGACUUUAAACAGACUGCCAGUGAUAAACUGGAGGAAGGUGGGGACGACGUCAAAUCAUCAUGCUCUUUAUGUCCUGGGCUACACACGUACUACAAUGGAGAGACCAGAGGGAAGCUAAGCCGCGAGGUGGAGCAAAACCCUAAAGCUCUUCUAAGUUCGAAUUGCAGAUUGAAACUCAUCUGCAUGAAGCCGGAAUUGCUAGUAAUGGCAGGUCAUCAUACUGCCGUGAAUACGUUCCCGGGCCUUGUACACACCGCCCGU
rnacentral:rRNA from 1 species